GUCGAGGAGGACGGGAGUGACAGGUAAGUGUCAGGGCACUUCCCAGCACUUACUGCACACUAUGCACACACUGCAUUCACUAUACACACACACUAUGCACACACUAUAAACACUGCACACACUAUAAACACUACACACACUGCAUUCACUAUACACACACUGCACACACUGCACUCACUAUACACACACUGCACUCACUAUA